GUCGUCACAUAUCUUCUCAUUCUUUAAAAAGCUAGCAGCCAAUCUGUGUCUUACUAGUGCUCUCUGCUUUCACGUGGUUGAACCCAUCAUAUCAUCAUAUCUUCUCUUCUUCUUCUUCUUGAAUCCAUUAGAGAGAAACAGGGAGAUGGAUCCGCCACCAGCACAAGCCAUUGAGACUUCCACCACCUACCAAGAAGAUGAGCAAGACAAAGUCGUCAACGACUGUUGUUCUUGCUGUUUUGACUGCACCGAGUCCUUGCUUGAUUACUUGUUCUGCGGUUUGUGUUAGACUUUGAGAUUAGAUUGACUGCAAAGAUAAAUCUGAUCCUGUUAUUCAUCUUUUACAGUUCAUGUCAUGUAUCAAACUUGAUGCUGCUGUGUCUUUAAAUUUGAAUAUGAUUCUUUUGUAAUACCCUUUUGAUC